rnacentral:rRNA from 1 species
CAGGAUUAGAUACCCUGGUAGUCCACGCCGUAAACGAUGUCGACUUGGAGGUUGUGCCCUUGAGGCGUGGCUUCCGGAGCUAACGCGUUAAGUCGACCGCCUGGGGAGUACGGCCGCAAGGUUAAAACUCAAAUGAAUUGACGGGGGCCCGCACAAGCGGUGGAGCAUGUGGUUUAAUUCGAUGCAACGCGAAGAACCUUACCUGGUCUUGACAUCCACAGAACUUUCCAGAGAUGGAUUGGUGCCUUCGGGAACUGUGAGACAGGUGCUGCAUGGCUGUCGUCAGCUCGUGUUGUGAAAUGUUGGGUUAAGUCCCGCAACGAGCGCAACCCUUAUCCUUUGUUGCCAGCGGUCCGGCCGGGAACUCAAAGGAGACUGCCAGUGAUAAACUGGAGGAAGGUGGGGAUGACGUCAAGUCAUCAUGGCCCUUACGACCAGGGCUACACACGUGCUACAAUGGCGCAUACAAAGAGAAGCGACCUCGCGAGAGCAAGCGGACCUCAUAAAGUGCGUCGUAGUCCGGAUUGGAGUCUGCAACUCGACUCCAUGAAGUCGGAAUCGCUAGUAAUCGUGGAUCAGAAUGCCACGGUGAAUACGUUCCCGGGCCUUGUACACACCGCCCGUCACACCAUGGGAGUGGGUUGCAAAAGAAGUAGAUAGCUUAACCUUCGGGAGGGCGCUUACCACUUUGUGAUUCAUGACUGGGGUGAAGUCGUAACAAGGUAACC